rnacentral:rRNA from 1 species
UACGGAGAGGGCGAGUGUUAUUCAUAGUGAUUGGGCGUAAAGGGGCGCGUAGACGGCUGUUUUAAACUUUUUGAUAGAAAUUCCACGGCGAAACUGUGGACAGCAAAAGAAUUGGACGGCUAGAAUUUAUUAGAAGUUAGCAGUACUUUCAGAGUAAAGGUAGCAAUUAUCGAUUCUGAGAGGACUCCCAAUAGCGAAGGCAGCUGACUAUAGUUAAAUUGACGUUGAGGCGCGGAGGCAUGGGGGAUCGAACAGG